CUUUGUUCUUAUAACAAACUAAUUACUAGAUUUUUCCACAUUGCUUCGACCUUCUCACAUCUGCUGGGGUAUUUUUUGUUUGUUUUUUUGAGGCAAAUAAAGAAAUACUUAAAUAUAGGAAUGAAACUGGACAUUGUCUUUAAUUCAAAAGGAAGAAUGUUUCAGAUGUAGCUAAUAAUGGCUGCUUCCAUCAGUGCAUGUGUUUUGUUUCCCCGUGGAUUAUGUUAAUUGGGUGUGGCACAGCUCUGCUUUCCUUGCAAUGCUCACAAAAAGAUGGGAAAACACAUUAGGUUUUAGGUUGAGGACUAGAAUGACAUCCUUCUCCUUCACAGUCAGUGCUUUAUAGUGUAAGUCACACCACCUCUUGAUCAAGUCAAUAAAUCUCCUGCAGUGCAGAGACACCCCGGGUAACAUCUGAGACAGUACCAGGGACGGAAGUGAAAUAGGCAUGGAAGUGGGCUCUGCACCUGAGUACCAAGCUCUGCCUGAGGAGGUUUAUUUGCUGAAGAGAAGUGCUGCACUAACACUUUUGGACCAAGGGAUGCUGAAGUUCACCCUGGUAUUAUAGAAUAUAUCUUUGGCAGUGAAUCCCUAAGCUGAGUUACAUGCCUUGUCUGGACUGCUCUAAGGUUUGUUUCUUUUUUCGUAGCAAGCAUUAGACAGAAUUUCAGUCAAUGACAGUGUUUGGUCAGGUGACUGCUGCAAAGUUUGCUUCAGAGAGUGAGGACAACAAAUGAUGUCUGAGCUGGUUCAUUGCCUUUACAGUGGGUGCAGAAGGACUGACUCUGUUGUGGUGUGCAGUUGUCCUGGCCAUCCUUGGGGGAUGGUCCAGUGAUGGUUGUCUUAAUAGCUG
rnacentral:lncRNA from 1 species